CGUUGUGGAGUCCGUUUCCCUUUGUCUUCUUACAGAUCUUGGUGCCCGAGGAGAGGCCGGGAGAGACUCCCGCCUUGCGGGGUGGCCCCAGGCGGUGCCUGCGCUCUCGGACCUCCAUGCUCAGGGGUGUAAAAGCAGCCCAGGCCCACCUGCCAGCCCUGUGUGGCCCGCAGGGACAGACACUCGGCAGGAGGCAGCUGGGACCCCCGGGCCUUUCCCUGUCACAGACUGGAGGCUCAGGUGUUGUUCGAAUUUCUCAGAGGUCAGAUCUUCCCAGAGCGACUGCGUCUUCCUGUGAAAGAGCCUCUGUCCACUCUGCGAAGGUGCCGAGGAGAGGUGCUGCCAUUUGCUCCCACAGCUCUCCUGAAGGCAGGGGACGUGCUGGUCACAAAUGCGACCUGCAGCACCGCCUCCAGAGCUCAGCCCUGAGAUCGUGCACACGAGGACAAGGACACACUUACUCCUCAGAGGUGACAUGCUGGGUGCAGAGUAGGGAACCCUGCAGGUCCCCAGCCAGGCUGAGCACGUCGUCCCCUUGUCCCUACACUGCUGGCUCUGUCCUGCCUACUCUGCCUCAAAAAAGGCAGGCGGAGUGUGGAAAAGCAUAGACUCACCCUCAGGAAUCGAUUUCUUGGGCCAGAUAUCCUAAAUGUUUGUUUCAAUAGCCAUUGUUUCCUCGAUAUGACACCAUGGCCACUUGCCUCUGAAGGGAGUCAUUCAGAAGGCAAACCUCUCAUCGCAAGGUACACGUACGUGGAGCUGCAGUGAAAUUUCUGCUCAAGAAGCGCGAAUGGGUGAUGUCCGAGCUUUCCGUGAUGACAAAUAGCCCACUGCAGCACGUGUCCAUUGGUUCACCACCACUGGCCGGGAUCAAACCCUCUCUGAAUGGCAGGAGAUGGAACUGAGCCCUGUGCUGUGCCUUCCACAUCCGCUCUGUCCUGCAUCCCCGAGAGGAAAAGGGUGAGGUAAGCUUCAGAAAUCUUAUUUAUAGCAUUGGAAUUGCAAAAGUUAAUUAUUUAGCUGACUUUUAAAAAAUAUAGGAAGAAAAAUAGCUGAGAUAACUGAGUAUCUGCCUCUCUUUAACUUGAUUCUUGCCUUAAACAAGCAAAACACUCUUAGUCGAGGUCUGAUUCAUGCUGGAAAGUUAAAUUGAUUUUUUCCAAGUGAAGAUCAUGUACAUCAAGAAAAGCCACCUCAUCAGCCCUUGCAGUCCCUUGGUGUCCACUUCCAUCAUCACUGUCCCUCCUCCUAUGAUGUCCACUUCCAUCACCACCAUCCCUUCCUCCCCACCCC
rnacentral:lncRNA from 1 species